rnacentral:rRNA from 1 species
UACAGAGGUCCCAAGCGUUGUUCGGAUUCACUGGGCGUAAAGGGUGCGUAGGCGGUCGGAUAAGUCUGAUGUGAAAUCCCCGGGCUCAACCCGGGAACUGCGUCCGAGACUGGCAGGCUUGAAUCCGGGAGAGGGAUGUGGAAUUCCAGGUGUAGCGGUGAAAUGCGUAGAUAUCUGGAGGAACAUCGGUGGCGAAGGCGGCAUCCUGGACCGGUAUUGACGCUGAGGCGCGAAAGCCAGGGGAGCAAACGGG